GACGAACGCUGGCGGCGUGCUUAACACAUGCAAGUCGAACGGAAAGGCCCUGCUUUUGUGGGGUGCUCGAGUGGCGAACGGGUGAGUAACACGUGAGUAACCUGCCCUUGACUUUGGGAUAACUUCAGGAAACUGGGGCUAAUACCGGAUAGGAGCUCCUGCUGCAUGGUGGGGGUUGGAAAGUUUCGGCGGUUGGGGAUGGACUCGCGGGUUAUCAGCUUGUUGGUGGGGUAGUGGCUUACCAAGGCUUGGACGGGUAGCCGGCCUGAGAGGGUGACCGGCCACAUUGGGACCGAGAUACGGCCCAGACUCCUACGGGAGGCAGCAGUGGGGAAUAUUGCACAAUGGGCGGAAGCCUGAUGCAGCAACGCCGCGUGCGGGAUGACGGCCUUCGGGUUGUAAACCGCUUUCGCCUGUGACGAAGCGUGAGUGACGGUAAUGGGUAAAGAAGCACCGGCUAACUACGUG
rnacentral:rRNA from 1 species